GCGAGACCUGAAGAUGACCACUGUUCUUCAGCUCUUGCUUCCGGUCCAGCACGGUCUCGCUCUUCACGUAGAACGCCUUCGUCUCCUGAAGCAGUUCCACCGCGCUCUUCCGCUUCCCUGUAGCACGUGACGAGGAAACCAGACGGCUGUUCCUGAUUUUAACAUACAUACGUAAACAAUUUGAAAAGUGAUGGCUGCACGCAUCGUUGCAUUCGUCGAUCGAUCGUGCCACGAAAGGAAGACGUAAAUGAAAGUGACGAAACGGGUCAGCAACGACAUAAUGGAGAACAGUAAAUGGAAUGGAGGAUGCACUUUUUUCCGAGCAAUGGGAAACGGUUUGCAGCGAUAUGUUCGUGUUGAUGAACGAUAACGACAUGCAACUGAACCGGAAGCCAAGUAGACGCGCAAGCUUUCGUGCUGGUUAACAAUAUUUUCACCUAACGUGGUGACCACCUGAGAAAAAAUGUUUCCACGCUGUGUGAAUGAAAGUAACAAGAUUAGAUAGUCGACAGAAAUAAACGAAGGACAAAUUACGCAUAAGAAUCUUCUGCAGCCGCCAUCGAAGAAGCUACCGUGUACUGUACCAGGACAUUAUAAAUAAUUCACGAUGACACUCUAAUUACGUUAGGAACUUUUAUCAGUGGGAAUCCAUUUUUCACCUCGAAUCAUCAUAGACUCUGACCACCUUCAACCUUGUAGAUACGAUGGUUGAGGUACCUUGAAUAAUUAAUUGUUAUAUCGGGUUGUUUUAUGAUUUUAAUUUUACUACAGUUUUUCAAGGAAUCGUCACUCUAAUUCUUAGGUGUUCUAUCUAGCGGAGGUUACAUAGUCCGUAAACUGAGAAAACUGAGUUUAAAGUUUAUGGAGUAUAAUACUAUCAUAAGGAAUCAUAAGUUAAAAAAACUGAAUAUUUGUUGCUUUCUAAAUAGAAUUUCUAUCAUAUUACCAAUGAAUUAGUGUUCUUUACGCCAAUAAGAGAUAUGACGAUAUGGAUAAUUACAUUUUUUUUUGGAAACGAAGUUAAAGCAGCGAAGGACUAGGGCAACGAAUUGUGAAUAUACGUGGUCCCUCAUUUCAAUUGUAUUAAAAUUUCUCUUGAAGCAUUAACGAUCUUUUUAUCCAAUUCUGUAAAUAUACUGAAUAUUGAAUGCUUUGAUAUUUUCUACGCUCCCCAUGGGUUGUACAGAUUAACCCUUUUGCAUCUAUAUCUCGCGAUGUCGUUUAUGCUUCGAGAGGCGUUUCUUUUCAUUCACAUACCAGACAUUUCAUCCGCGGAUGUGAAAGGGUUAACGAUCCUAAACUCAUACCAGGACAUCUCCUACGUUCAAAAAUGUCUUGUUUCAUUUUUCUUUAAACGUUGACGCGAUAUUUAUGAUGUAUUAAGAUAAAUAUAAUUGCAUUCCAUAGAAUAGAUAACUGUUACUAAUACGAUAAAAAAUGCUUAGUACAGAAGUUACUAAAAUUCAUAGCGCAUCAAUUUGAAAAAUUCUUUCAUUCGCCAUAUGUACAUAUAACUGUCAUAUUUUGACUUUUUCAAUAUAAGUUUUACAUUUUAGUCAGGCCUGUCGUUAAAUAUUGAAAACCAGAUACGCGUGUUAUCUCGUCCCUGGAGUCAUAUGAACGAUAUUGCGUCGCGAGAUACAGUGUCUGUGAAUGUGAAUAGGUCAAACAGCGAAAGGAUUAACAGACCUACUGGCUGGUUCGAUGUUUUUGCCGCGUUACGCCAAUGCAGAGCGACAGUGGUGCACGUGUACGCACUUUACACGCGCGUUCGGGUUAAAGUGUCUCGUUGAAGAGGACGAGAUGGCAAGCUCGAGCAUUAAAUGACGAGCAGUCCGACAUCUGCGGCUUCUCCCGUUUUCGCGUGCCACGCACGCUGAUGAUUGAUGACAAGCGUCUGACACGCCUUAGGGAGCUGAUACUCUCGCCUCGAAACAAUCAACGAUUCGAUCACGAUAGCCAGGCAGAGUGGAAUCGAUUGGCCGAAUUGUUGGCAAUUUAAAUUCAAUGCACUUUAAUGAUAUGGCACCCCCAAUACAGAUGCAUCGAUGGGAAUUAAUUAGUCGCAAUCGAAAUAUAAAUAGACGGCUAUGUCUGUGACAAAUCUGAUUUUCUAAUAGAACUCGUUACUUUUUGUUGUAACUUCUGUUUGAAAUAUAUUAUUAAUCUUGGAAACGGUCUAUGUUAAUGUAACUCUUCCUUUGUAAAGUAAUAAAAUGAUAAAAUU